UACGUAGGGGGCUAGCGUUGUCCGGAAUCAUUGGGCGUAAAGAGCGUGUAGGCGGCUCGGUAAGUCCGCUGUGAAAGUCCAGGGCUCAACCCUGGAAUGCCAGUGGAAACUGUCGAGCUAGAGUCCGGAAGAGGCGAGUGGAAUUCCUGGUGUAGCGGUGAAAUGCGCAGAUAUCAGGAGGAACACCACUGGCGAAGGCAGCUCGCUGGGACGGUACUGACGCUGAGGUGCGAAAGCGUGGGGAGCAAACAGG
rnacentral:rRNA from 1 species